rnacentral:tRNA from 1 species
GCCGUGUUACGCCGUUAUGGAGGCGGCUCGGGCUGUAAACCCGUAGUUCCUACGUCGCGGGGUUCGAUUCCCUGACACGGCACCA